AGGGCCUGGAGACCUGCAGGAAUGCCAGCAACACAGUAGGACCCUGGCUAAGGCACACAGAAUGGAUGGAUGGAACUAGAGUGUUUAAAAAUGAAGUCAAGAAGCAGAAUAUGCCUACAAAUCUGAGGUUGAAUGGAUGUGGCCUAAGAAUUCCAGAAUAGUACUCCAUGGUGAAUUCGUGGAUUUAGAACUCAUGGAUCCAGAGGGCUGAUGCUGCAGAUGUCAUGUGUUCCUGAAGCCCGCUUGGCCUCUCUGAGUCACUGACUCUGCCCCAGUGAGGACAGGAUGAGUUCCUGGCAUGUCACAGGGGGUUUGCUUGGCAUCUGAUGUUGAAUACGGAUUUCACUGAGACUGAACGUGGCAAAGCAAAGAAAAUCUUGCAGAUGAGUGCAAUUGAUAAGGAACUUCCAAAAUACUCUAGAAGCAACUGGAGCUUUCAAUCCACAUAUACAUACUUUCGAUGGCUGCAACUCAUGGAGACGGGAGAAAUCUUCAAACUUGGGUUUGAACCAGAAGAGUGACUGUGAAAGGGCUUUACAAAAAUACGAAGGCUGGCAGAAGGAAUAGUGAAGCAGAGGCAGAAUGAGUAUCACUCUCUCAGCCUGUCACUGGGCCAUGGUUACAAGUUAUUUGUCUUUAUAUGAAAGGCAGAGAAUAAACAAUGAGAAACAUCCUCUCUUCGCCUUACUUAUCUAGGAAUGUGCUAAAGAAUACAGAAUCCCAUUGGAAAUCCUGCUAUAAAGCUCUGCUUUCCACUAAUGACAAAUGAGUUGUAUCACCCAGUUGUCACCAGUGGCCACCAUCUAGAUAAAACUCCAUUUUGCCUUCAUGCCAGGCAAUCAAUCAGGCCGAAGCUUUGGUGCAGUGUAUUCUCCUAUAGCCUGUACCCAGGACACUGGAAUCAGCUGUACGGAUGUGUGUGUGUGAAGCUCGUGAGCAUUAGGCGUGGGGUCACCAGAAGAAAGGACCCUGAGCUAUGAAGACUGCUUACUAGGCGCUCAACACAGCCCUCGCAGAGCUACCUGCUACUGGAUUCCUAGAGUGAUUCCCCAUGUUUUACCAUCAUUCGCCUCAGAAUCCGUUCUGCAAGCUGGGUCGGAGCUGAAGAACAGACAUUCUUUCUGACAGCUGUACAGGGAGGCGAACAAAUUUCCAGAGGAGGGUGUCCUGCGCCAGCGAGCCCAUCCAGCUGGAUUUGCAUCGCACGUGCAGAGAGCUGCGCGGCACGGCCCACUGCUGCGGGGGCUGCAGCUACUUAUUUAAUAACUCGGUUCGCAGGCGGCACAGGGACUGCAGCACUUUAGGUUAUUCCAGACAAAUAAGGAGUCACAGAACACUGCGCAGAGAAAAGUAACAUUUUAGUUCUUCCCCUUGGCCGAGGCUGUUUAAAUGCUGAACAUGAUAGUCCUGAGGUAUAGAUGGUAAUAAUUUCUGUUAGGUGUAGGAACUGUCUUCCUCCAGCCGUGUCAUUUGAUGGCAUGCAACAUUUCUUUGGUGUUUAUUGGAGUUUGAAGUGUUUACUUUUUAAC